UACGUAGGGUGCGAGCGUUGUCCGGAAUUAUUGGGCGUAAAGAGCUCGUAGGCGGUGUGUCACGUCGGCCGUGAAAACCUGCAGCUUAACUGUGGGCUUGCGGUCGAUACGGGCAUCACUGGAGUUCGGCAGGGGAGACUGGAAUUCCUGGUGUAGCGGUGAAAUGCGCAGAGUAUCAGGAGGAACACCGGUGGCGAAGGCGGGUCUCUGGGCCGAUACUGACGCUGAGGAGCGAAAGCGUGGGGAGCGAACAGG
rnacentral:rRNA from 1 species